UUUUUUUUAUUAUUAUUAUUUCAUGCGCUCUCAAAGUCGCUUCAUAGUGUCUGAGUGUGAACGGCAGCUCUAAAUGCUCUUGACUUCUCCUGUAUCUGUCGGUAGGUAGAGCUCUCUCGCUCUCUCUCUCUCUCUCUCUCUCUCUCUCUCUCUCAGUUUGUCUGUAACUUGCUCCUUCCCUUUAACACCAUAGGCAAAUUCCUCAAAAUCCCGGCGGUGUGGCGUUUUCACACGCGAUUUGUACUCAUCAGUCUUGCCGGCUAAGACAGGCUAGGAAGAAAAUGACAAGGAUUUGGGGCAGGGGGCUGAAGAGGAGACGUGGAGGGAGAGCAGCCUUCAGCCAGGGAAGGGGGGAGCCAGAAAACCCCCACAUCUAAUGAAUGAAGCAGGGUUAUGAAAGCCUCCAUUGAAAAUCCACAGCUGGAAAGAACAGGCAAGGAUCAUGGCAAGGACAGAGAGUAAACAUUUUCUUACACAAAGCUACUUGGAGGAGACAGAAAAAGUGAGACAGAAACCCUUCUAGCUAACCAUGCUGGGAAUGGAUUGAAUCAUCUGGAGAAUGAGGAUCCCAAGCUAUUCCACGAUGUGGCUGGAAAAGAAAAGAUGUCAAAUAUGGGGAUGAUUUGAAUUGUAUCUCCUAGAAAUUGAAUUUUCUCCCCCCCCCCCAACCGAAUACGCAUUUGUGUCAUAAUCAAAGAGGCACUGGGUAGUUGAGUCAUAUUUGUUUAAUUGCGUGAGAGCUUAACAAUAAAUGUUUCCCUUCAAGGUCUGUUUUUGGGGGUUUAUUUAAAGAACCACACACACACAUCAGAUCAGUGAUAUGCAAUCCUCUGGGCUUUAAAAAAAAAUCGUGACAUUUACGGUGCUGCUCUUUGUCUCUUCUGCGUUGUGUUUUGUGCCUCCGUGGGAGUUUGUGGAGCUCCGCGUUUCCCAUGUUAGUUUGUGUAUGCCUGCUUUGCAAUGUAGCUUUAUAAAUACAACUGUAUUGUACUUUAAGAGACUUCAUUGUACGGAUUUCGGGUUUAUUCCCCACCUCCCUCCCCCUUUUUCUCUUCUGCUUUGCAACCCAAAAUGUGAUCGCCUCCGCUAUUCUUUCCCUUCGCCAAGAGCCUCUGCAACAUGUGUAACGUGUGUUAGCGCUAAUAAAGAACAAGACUUCAAACAAAGCAGCUUUCUCCUCAGCAUUUUAUGUAUUUGCUAGUGGAUGCUGGACGGAAGGUGUCUCAUCAGCUAUAAUUAAUUUACGAUGGUCUGAGCUUUUCCUUUUCAACCAGCUAUCUCUUGCAGAGAUGAUCCUUUUAUUUUAGAAUCGCACAGACCCCGGGUCCUUGACAGUUGCUUAAUGCGUUUGCUUCUCCAGCACACAUUAGAUGUUAAUUUACAAGUCAUAGGUGAGGGAAUGGAUACAUAUUUGUUUUGAUUUGGGGUUUUUUUCCUCCUGAAACCUUUCAGAGGCCUGUGGAUGCAACGGCACGCUUUGUACCUCCCCGGGCCCGACUACUUCUAAUAUUGAACAACAGCGCCAUCGUGCGUUGGCUUCCUCCAAGACACCUUGUAUUCGGAACACAAAAAAAGUCCCUUCUGUCAUUAAAAAGAGAGAGAAAAGGGAAGGGGCGGGGGGAGUCUCCUCCGCAAACACAUCCAAUUCGGGCUAAAAAGAAAGCCAAAGAAAACCCCAAACGGGUUGCCUAAACUCCAGGAUGCGUGGGGAUAAUCAGGAGGCAUUUUAUAACCAACAAUUACAUGCAUUGUUGAUUUACCAGGAGCUUUGCAAUGACCCCUCACCAAACAGUGCGCCUGUGGUUGUUGUUAUAUCAACGCUGCAGUGGGUGUAGCGGAUUGGGAUCCCCUCCCCACCCCCUUCUUCUUUUCUGCUUAAGGAUCCCAUAAAAACUAAGGCCCGAUGUGUACACACACAAACACCCUCCUCCAAACUGCAGUGCUUUUAUCAGUUUUUAACUGAAGGGUGGGGGGAGUUUCCCUCCCCCCUGCUUCCCUUUCCCCCUCUCCUCUCGUCCAAGGGGGGUCUGUUGUUUGUAGCUUGUAGACAAAACAUUCCAAUAAUCUGGUUUCAAAGAAGAGAGCACCCACCUUAUUUAAACCAUAAAACAAUUAAAGCCAGACGUCUAGCCAGAUCUGAAGUCCUGUUUUGUUCGCUCCUAUUCAGCGCGCAUAGCAGUGAGACAAACAGAGUUGUAAAACUAGCAUUUUUGCCCCCCUCUUCCUCUGCUGCGGAAGUGCACCUAUGGACCGCUUUCAAAGCUGCGGUAUGCUGGCUUUGUGUGUGUGUGUGUGUGCGUGUGUAUGUGUGUGUGUGUGUGUGCGCGCCUUACAAACAGAUCGUCCUUUAAAACAACCACACAAAAAAAUACUACAGCAGGAAAAUAAUGACAUGCACCCGCACAUAUCCCUUCGCCAGCCCCUUGCACCGGAGCCUUUUCGAUCCCAUUCAAGGACUCAAGCCCACCUUCUGCUUUGUGUGCUCAUGUCUUCUUCUUUUUCUUUUUUAAUUCGGGUUAUUUUUAGCCCCGUUGCCUGUCUCCUCAACCUCCCAAGGCAGCACAUUCCAGUCCUAUGGUCAACGCCCCCCCCCGCCCCGCUUCCCCCUUUGCAGGACCAAAUGCCACUUCUAGAUAUGGGGGGGUGCUACAGAAGCCUUGCCCGUGAACUGGGACUGCAGCAGGGAUUUAAAAGCAACCAAGGCAGCAGGAACAAAAGACAGCCCCACCGCACUUAGCUGGAGACAAAAGGGGUCGGAUUCUUCCCUGCCUCUUGGGCUGCCUGUGUGGGUUGCCUGUGUGAAGGCUACGAGAUGGGCAGGGCGAGGGAAGUUUCUUGCGGUCGCCUGGGGGAUGAGAGUGCUUUGAAUUGAAGGGGACAAAAUUUGGGGGGGGGGGGCAUACAUCAUUGCUUUCCACCCUUAGCCCCAGCGUCUCAUUACAUAGGCAUCUCCAGAGAGGUGGGUCCGAGGCUGCUCGCAAAGUCCCUUGCUAAAGGGGAGAACUCCCCCAAAGCAAAGGAUCCUUUCCCCACCAUCACCCAUGACUGCAAAUACCGUGUUCAGACCCUCCCGGCUUCUUUCAAUCGAGGUUCCUGAGUGAAGGGGGCAGGAGGAAGGGAAAUAAAGACAUGAAUGGAGUGGGCUAGUUGUUUUUUCAGUCAAAUCAGCUCUUUUAGCCCCUCGGUCUACUACAAUAUUGUUACCCUGAACAUUUCCCUGGGCUCCUUAAGAUCCUUGCAAACGUGGGGCUUCUGGCUUUGCAAGGAUGCUGAGGAUGCUGAGAUGAAUGUAUCUCGCCCCUUUUGCACGCGCGCACACACACACGCACACACACACACAAGCCCUGGCGCAGACAAAUCCAUAAGCCAAAGCCCCCUCCACAUGCCAAGGGAAGAAAUAUGAAAGAGCGAUAUUUUUCUGAGCUCCCCGGGUAAUCGCUUCCAGAUUUUUGUAUUUUGGGAGCGCCUGGUUUGGAGGCGACAAACAUCUCCCCCCAGCCUGCUCUGGCUUUGAUUAGGAAGAUUAAAACAGCGCCCUGCUCGUUUCAUUAAAGAAAAGGGACCCGCAACAAGUUUUUAUGAUGAAACAUCCCCGGCUGCUCGUUUUUUAUCCAGCCCCUUCCAGCUCUCGGGGAUAUCAGCCAUUGAGUGUCUUUGGGCAGCGCCUUCUCCUGCUUUUGAGCCAGGGAAAUCGCCACGAGCCACCAUCCAGCCUGAACGCCCCCCUCCCCUAGCCCCUUCUCUACGCCUCUGCUUGCCUUUGCAAACAACCGCUGCUGGGGACAGGGGGGUGGAAAACAAGGGAGACUUUUAACCCCCAAAUUCACCACCUCGUGCACAUCCCCUUCCCCUCUCCUCAUUCUUCUCAUAACCUAUUAUUUUUUACAGUCCUCUCCCAUCCACUGCAUUGUCCUUUGCCAGGCAAGAAGGAGCCUGUGUGUUGCAGGAGCUCCAGAAACCCCUCUCUAAGUCCCCGCACUUCAGUGCUAACACGCAGCAGUUGCAAUACAGGCGGUUGUCAAACAGAGCAAUGUUGCACACUUCCCCGGCAUACAUAUUUAAUCUUUUACAUAUACUUCGAUUGCCUGGGGUCAUAAAUUAGCACAAUUAAUUAUCCCAAACUAAAAAUUUAUGGCACGGAUAACCCUUACCUAAACGCAUUUUAUGAUGAUACUAUUAAAUAUAAAAUGUUGUGAGCGGAAGCCAGUCUCUUUUUUUUCCCCCUUCCCCCCCUCGCCUCCAUCCCUUCUUCAUUCGCUUUCUGCAAGACGGUGGGUUUGCACAUAUGCACACACAGCACACACACACACACACACACAUACACCCUCCAUUUCAACAGGCUGCGAUUUCUUAUCAGGGCUAAAAUUCCCUGGCGCGAUUUUGCAAGGGCUUUUAAACAGGAGGAGGAACCACACAUUCCCCCGUGCACGUUGGUAGUUGCUAUGUUUAAAUAAAGGACACCUACAGGAUAAGGAUUUUUUUUUUUUUUUAGCAUUUCUUUUCUCUCUCUUUUUUUUUUUUUUUUUGUGAUGUUAGGUAUAUAUUUACAUAAAGCUGCUCAACUAUAGCAAAACGGAACAAUAUUACAGAACGGUGAGACAGGAAGAAAAUACACAAAUAAGUACACCAAAAAACGUCCAAACACUAUGACAGAACAUUAUGGAGUGAUCUCCCCCCACCCGCCCCACCCCAACCCCUUUCUUUUCUUUAUUUUUCUUCUUUUCUCUCUAUU